rnacentral:rRNA from 1 species
GCAAGUCGAGCGCACCCUUCGGGGCGAGCGGCGGACGGGUUAGUAACGCGUGGGAACAUACCCUUUUCUACGGAAUAGCCUCGGGAAACUGAGAGUAAUACCGUAUAAGCCCUUCGGGGGAAAGAUUUAUCGGGAAAGGAUUGGCCCGCGUUAGAUUAGAUAGUUGGUGGGGUAAUGGCCUACCAAGUCACCGAUCUAUAGCUGGUUUGAGAGGAUGGUC